UAGGGAAUCUUCGGCAAUGGGUGCAACCCUGACCGAGCAACGCCGCGUGAGUGAAGAAGGUUUUCGGAUCGUAAAGCUCUGUUGUACGAGAAGAACGUGUGUGAGAGUGGAAAGUUCACACAGUGACGGUAACUUACCAGAAAGGGACGGCUAACUACGUCCCAGCAGCCGCGGUAAUACGUAGGUCCAGAGCGUUGUCCGGAGUUAUUGGGUGUAAAUCGAGCGCAGGCGGGUUAAUAAGUCUGAAGUUAAAGGAAGUGGCUUAACCAUUGUUCGCUUUGGAAAGUGUUCAGCUUGAGUGCAGAAGGGGAGAGUGAGAUUACAUGUGUGGCGGUGAAAUGCGUAGAUAUAUGGAGGAACGAAGGUGGCGGAAGCGGGUCUCUGGGCUGUAACUGACGCUGAGGCUCGAAAGCGUGGGGAGCAAACAGG
rnacentral:rRNA from 1 species